UUCCUACCAAGUUAGUCCAGGCCUUGGGUACAUAUAAUAAUUGCCCAAUGAUAAUUCUAUCCUUAGUCUCAGCUUGGUAUCCCCAAAAAGUAACACUGUUAUCCCAGUCUCUUCUACCCCCAUCACAUUUAGGGUUUCAUUAGUUAAUUUAAGCUCUGAUACUUUACGGGCCAGCAAUGACCUACUUGUCCUAGUGUAUUGGGCUUACGUGGCAAGGUUCUGGUAGCAGGGAGGCUGCAGUGGUAGCCCCUGUCAGAAGAAUCCAACAGCUGCCCUGUGGCAGAUAAGGGCCAGUUUCAGCCAGCUCCAAAGGGGCCCACCACUGCCCAGAGCCGAGCCAUGAGCAAUGCAGUUUGUGCCUCUGUGAGAGCACAUCCAAGAAAAGGAAAAAAAAACCUGCUGCAGAACAGCAGCUGGAAGAGUGAGGAGUGAGAAACCUCCCUGCAGACACUAAGGUCAGUGCAGAAGGAGGGGGAGAAGGCACUCCAGGUGCCAGAGCUAAAACACCCCCGCAGCCCACAGAGAAGCCCGUGGUGGAGCAGGCUGACUCCACCCCCACAGCCCAUGGUGUACCACAGCAGAGCACAUCUCCAUGCUGCAGCCCGUGGAGAGGAGCCCAUGCAGGAGCAGGUGAUCGGAGGGAGGAGGUCCCCUGGGUGUCCCAAGCCAGACCAACCUGUUCCUGAUGAAUAGACUCCGCGGCACAGACCCACACCUGGAGCAGCUCCCAAAGAGCCACUGCCUGUGGAAAAACCCACACAGGACCAGCCCAGGAAGGUCGGCACCCCAUGGGAGGGACCCCACACCAGAGCAGGGGAGAGAGCAACUGUGAAGGAGCAGUGGAAACUAAGCACCACGGAUUGACCACAGCCCCCACUCCCGGCCCCCCAUCGCCACUCAAGACAGGGAAGAGGUGGAAGAAAGCGGAUGGGAGAAGGAACCCCCAGGUUGUUUCUUUGUUUCUCACCACUCCAGCCUGUCAGCAAUAGCACUGGAUUUCAUCCUGAACACAAAAGAAAUGGGAUCUCCAGGUCCGGACAAUAGCUGAAGGUACUGGAGUUGCAGAUUGGCCGACCCAGGCAUUCAGCUCAUGUCCACAGAGCCAGAAGAGACCACCUUUGCCAGGUGUUAAAGCAGCUGAGAAAGUGAUUCACAAACUCAAAUGCACGUGUGCUCUGAUAAAGGAAGAAACCCCUGCAAAAACCCACUGUGCCUGCAGCAGGUCCUCACGAAGACGGGGCACAAUUUGAAGCUCAUGCCCCACCGGUCUGCAGCCUUGGUUUGUCAUGGGAAAGAGCUGGCCAUGUCCUCAACAGCAUCAGACACUCCAGAAACAUGACCUAUGUGUUUUGCCUGAAUUAUGAGAACGCAGAGGGCAUUCUUCAAAAAUACUUUGGGUAGCAUGCUGAUGGGCACAUACUGUGUCGGUAGGCAGGUUUACAUGCAUAGCCAUAAUGUUGAUCGACAAAAUAGUGUUCAGUUUGCAGUGGCAGCCUCUGUGUAGCCAUCCUGCAUGGCUACCCUGUGCGUUUCAAUUUUCUACAUAAAUGCUUUGGAAAAGGAGAUGGAAAACCUCUCUCUCUUUCCAACGCAACACACAGUCUGCACCCACUGCUAAAAAUUGUAUCAGUAUCAAUCUCCUCAGCAUCACAAACACACCCACAUGCGUCUGAAUCCUGAAAUGCUUAUUUUGCAAAGAGUGUGCCAAAAGAUUUACUUACUCUUUAGAACUGUUUAAUAAUGUUGUGGGGAUCAAAGGAGCAAGCAUUUUCAUGACAAAAGGAAUUUGUACUCCAGGCUUUACAGCGCAGACAGUGAUUAGUGAGUCAUACAGAAGAAAGUGUCUCUCUUUUCUCUUUUAAAUAGCUGUUGUAGCAUUUACCUAAACAUUACAGUGCUGAAUCAGUAGUUUCUCAAGUCUUCACAGUGACUGCCUGAACUACACACCUUUACCUGGUACUCUCCUGGUGCUCUCUCCUCACCUGCAAAAUGUGUUCAGCACAGUUAGGUGGCUGCUAGC